ensembl:lncRNA
CUUGGAACUGCUCCAGUUUGCAAACUCCUCCCUUCCACCCUGAUGUUCUCUGCUUGUGUUUGCUCUGUACUGACAGCUACCAAGUGUCCAUGCUGUUGGUGAGCUGAGGGCUUUCUCUUAUGGAUGUGGGAAUAGUGAUGCUUGGAUGGGGUGCCACCGAGAUGUCAGUGUCUCUUCCCAACAGGGCUGCUGUGGAUGGGGAAUGCGACAGUGGACUUUUGAGUAAUUCUCCCAAAAAUGUGCAAAGCUGCAAAAUUUCGGAACUUAUUUGGGAAUCCUCGGCCAUCAAUAACACAGGCAAUAGUGAAAUAACAGCAGGACGUUUUACUUUUAAAUGCUUCUCAUAAAAAUGAGGGGAGCAGAUUGUUUAUAUU